rnacentral:rRNA from 1 species
UACAGUGGCGUACGGGUGAGUAACACGUGGGUGGUCUACCUUUUAGUGAGGAAUAACCAAGGGAAACUUUGGCUAAUACCGCAUAAGCCUGGGAAGGGAAAGCAGAAAUGCGCUGAAAGAGGAGCCCGCGGCCGAUUAGCUAGUUGGUGAGGUAAGAGCCCACCAAGGCAGAGAUCGGUAGCCGGCCUGAGAGGGCACACGGCCACACUGGCACUGAAACACGGGCCAG